rnacentral:rRNA from 1 species
GACGAACGCUGGCGGCGUGCUUAACACAUGCAAGUCGAACGGAAAGGCCCCUUCGGGGGUACUCGAGUGGCGAACGGGUGAGUAACACGUGAGUAACCUGCCCUUGACUUCGGGAUAACUUCAGGAAACUGGGGCUAAUACCGGAUAGGAAUCCUUGCUGCAUGGUGGGGGUUGGAAAGCUACGGCGGUUUUGGAUGGACUCGGGGCUUAUCAGCUUGUUGGUGGGGUAGUGGCUUACCAAGGCUUUGACGGGUAGCCGGCCUGAGAGUGCGACCGGCCACAUUGGGACUGAGAUACGGCCCAGACUCCUACGGGAGGGAGCAGUGGGGAAUAUUGCACAAUGGGCGGAAGCCUGAUGCAGCAACGCCGCGUGCGGGAUGACGGCCUUCGGGUUGGAAACCGAUUUCAGCAGGGGCGAAGCUUGUGGUGACGGUACCUGCAGAAGAAGCUCCGGCUAACUACGUG